UCAGACACAACUUAGUGACUGAACAACAAAAACAGUGGCACUCAAAAUGGUGCAAAGACAGAGGGCUGUAGAAGAGCUCAGAAGCAGGACACAAGAUGUACCUAGCAGCCAGGAUCUGGGACCAGGCUAAAAUGUCCUCUAAAGACGUCUAUCAAAUGUAAUUGAACACCAGGAGCAAUAAUUGUCUACUUGGAGAAAUGGUUUAUUGUCCAGGAAUGAAGCAAUAUCUUUGGCAGAAUCUAAUCUUGUACUGAAAUUGGUUGCUUUGUUCAUCUGUUCUAUAUAUGCUGCUUCUUUAUACAAGUGCUGUUGAUGAGAAACAGAUGAAGCAUGUUCUCUCAGGAAGACAUCAGCUGGGUUCUUGGCAGCACCCUUGACUGAUAGUUUGGGGGGAAGGUGGCGACCAGCAGCUAAACAACUAUUGGUUGAUGACUGAUACAGAGAGAAUUCUGGCAGCAGCAGGACCUGGAAGAGUUUCCAGACUUACCUGAGACUUGAAGUAAGUUUCUUGUGGGGUGGCAAGUACAUCUGCAGACGCGAUGUCCAAAUGCAUGAGUGUCUGCCGAAAAGAAGCUAUAUGGUUGGCAGAAGAUCCCAAAGUUGAACACAUUUUGUUGAUUAUCAGCUCCUUGAAGGAAAAGGUCUUCAAGUUCUUUUCUUUCUACCACAUGGCUUAGAAGUUCAUAGCAGGUUCUUGACAAAAAUUUCUUAACUUCACCUGGACGUUUUUUGCUGAUAAAGCCUUUGCACAAACAGGUGCAGAAGCAAGGGGUAGGAGGAAGCAUAACAACAGGAAGGAACAUCUUCUAUGUGUCAGACGCUUCUGAGUGAUUCACUGGCCAGGCAACACAAUGGCACAGACGGCUGCAAACACAACAUUGCACAACGCCUCAAGAGCCUGGUGUGAUGGGCCAGGGACACAGUCUCACUAUUGUUUCCCAUGUAGAGUAAAGACCGUUCAAGCAUCUUCAGCCUAAAGAGUUGGACACCAACAAAGCAAUCCUUAUCCACAAUGCUGACAACUGCACAUGCAGGUAGGAGGGUCAGAGGGUAAGGUGGGGAAAAGACUGAGUAAAAAGGAAGAAACAAAAGAAAAGAAGAAAAAAUCCAGCUUCUCACACUCGCCUUCUGAGGACACAUUUCUACCUUCAGUGAUCCACGACAUCCUGCUAGAGAGCCCUCAGGCCUGAGACUCACAGCCUAGUUCACUUCGGGAGGCCAAAAAGCCAAGCUCAUCAUAGAAUAUUCUAUGUCUCAAAUCCAGUGAUUUAAGCUUAAAA